rnacentral:ncRNA from 1 species
AAAUAAUCAAUCAUAAAGAGAGUAGAUAAGAAUCACUUCUCAAAGCGAGAUAGGGCAGAGUGUAAGCCUAUCAGAAAAAUCUUGUUGAACCGCACUUUAUGGAUGAAAAAGUGAAACUAGUAGCUUUUUCCGCAAAUCAUGCGUUACUAAAAUGAGGUGGAUGUGUCUUUGAACACGUCAACUAGAGUGGUACCGCGGAAUCAAUAAACUUUGACCCGUCUCUUGC